CGUCAUGUCUUUUUGAUGACUCUUUUGGAAAUUAGUCCUUGCUUCUGACCUUGCUAUGUUUUGCUCCUGUUUGAAGACUCCUGGUGAUCAGGAUUAUUUUUGUAAUCCUGUGAUUUGCCAGCAACUGUUUUGAUCAGCUGAUGAGACUGAUGAAGAACACCUGUGGACCCAGCUCCUACCGUGCGUCUGGUGCCAUCUAGAGGUUGGAUGGGGUUAGUAGCAGGCAAAACAGGUGAACAGAAAGAAACUCCCAGAACUCCGACACUCUGCUAUUUCUGAUGGAUCCACUGCUGGUGAAAGGCUGGGCCAAAGGGGCUGAUGCAGGAGACGUUAAAGGGCUGUCUGACUCUCACUGUCUCUUUGCUGGCUUUGACUUCCACCUCAAAGUCGUUUACCUCCUGAGGUUCUG